UUGCACUGUCUUUGAACCUAGUUGGUCCUCUUGGUGACCUCUUAAGGCCAAGCUACAGUGCUAUAGCAAACCCAGAAUUGUUCAUAACUGGGGCAUCCUGGAAUCACCACCAGGUUGCUCUUUUAAAAGCAAAUCACAGCU